rnacentral:rRNA from 1 species
GACGAACGCUGGCGGCGUGCUUAACACAUGCCAGUCGAACGGAAAGGCCCUGCUUUUGUGGGGUGCUCGAGUGGCGAACGGGUGAGUAACACGUGAGUAACCUGCCCUUGACUUUGGGAUAACUUCAGGAAACUGGGGCUAAUACCGGAUAUGAUCUCCUGCUGCAUGUGGGGGGUUGGAAAGUUUCGGCGGUUGGGGAUGGACUCGCGGCUUAUCAGCUUGUUGGUGGGGUAGUGGUUUACCAAGGCUUUGACGGGUAGCCGGCCUGGGAGGGUGACCGGGCACAUGGGGACUGAGGUACGGCCCAGAAUCCAACGGGAGGCAGCAGUGGGGAAUCUUGCACAAUGGGCGGAAGCCUGAUGCAGCAACGCUGCGUGCGGGAUGACGGCCUUCGAGUUGUAAACCGCUUUCGCCUGUGACGAAGCGUGAGUGACGGUAAUGGGUAAAGAAGCACCGGCUAACUACGUG